rnacentral:tRNA from 1 species
CGGGGCGUGGCUCAGUUUGGUAGAGCGCGUGGUUCGGGACCACGAGGUCCUGGGUUCAAAUCCCAGCGCCCCGACCA